UUACCUUUCAUUUGAAGCACUGAUCCAUUUUGUUUCUCUAAAAGUUGGUGAUCCCAUUUCUCUCUUACCAAAAUAAUUUAGUUGUUCAUCCAUUUUAGACUUGGAAUGUGUUGAUUGUGUUAUUUCGUCCUCCUCACUGCUUUAUGGGGCUUUUGUUCAUCAUCUUCUUGUUACCUCUAUCUGCUAUCGUAGGUCUCCAACAUGAUUAGCCGAAUCUCGUAUUUUGCCCCCGCCUUUCUUUAGUCAUUUAAGUGGAGUUUCCGUGAGUAGUUUGAGUGAUGUUUAUAUCUCUUUUAUUUCCAUUCAUGACGUUAUGUGCACAUCUCAUCUAUUGCAAUGCAUCGAUUUACCUAAAGUUUACCUUUACUUUCCAAAAAAUGACCUUCUUGGUUCUUGUCUAAUAUGAAAAUCUAUCAUGAGCUCAUUUGACACUUAGCCUUAAUAUUGGUUAUCUCUCGUCUAUGAGCUUUAAUGUGAUGGCCUUUGCAAACUUUAAUCAACACGUCAUGAAAUUCCUUGUUGAAUUUUCAGAUUUGGUAGAUAUUAUUUAGUAAAUUGUGCAUUUACUUAUUUUAGCAUUUCUCGUUAUUCCUUUUUAUAUCUAAGUCUCGAUAGAUUGAGAGUGUACGUGCUUUCACUCAACUUCAGUAGGUGCUUACAGUUGC
rnacentral:lncRNA from 1 species